rnacentral:rRNA from 1 species
CUCAGGGAGGUAGUGACAAGAAAUAACAACACUGGAAAUUUUAUUUCUAGUGAUUGGAAUGAUGGGAAUUUAAACCCCUUUCAGAGUAACAAUUGGAGGGCAAGUCUGGUGCCAGCAGCCGCGGUAAUUCCAGCUCCAAUAGCGUAUAUUAAAGUUGUUGCAGUUAAAAAGCUCGUAGUUGGAUGUCUGCUGGAAGCAAUCAGUCCGCCUUAUUUGUAGGGUGUGCACUUGAUGAAUUCUGGCAUCUAUGUCCUAAUGUGAUAGAUAUGGCGGUGUAUAUGGGUUAAUCCUAUAUACACGUUUGCAUAUUAUAUUGGGAUAAUACCGUUACUUUGAGAAAAUUAGAGUGUUUGAAGCAGGCUAAUUGCCUUGAAUACUGCAGCAUGGAAUAACAAUAUAGGAUUUCGGUUCUAUUUUGUUGGUUUCUAGGACUGAAAUAAUGAUUAAUAGGGACAGUUGGGGGCAUUCGUAUUUAACUGUCAGAGGUGAAAUUCUUAGAUUUGUUUAAGACGAACUACUGCGAAAGCAUUUGCCAAAGAUGUUUUCAUUAAUCAAGAACGAAAGUUAGGGGCUCGAAGACGAUCAGAUACCGUCGUAGUCUUAACCAUAAACUAUGCCGACUAGAGAUAGGAAACUGUCAUUUUUCUGACUU